rnacentral:piRNA from 1 species
UCAAAGUUUCAGGUUUCAUUAGAUAGGCCA